UGCCAAUCAACUAGUUCACCCAAUACAACUCAAAACUCCAAAAUAACCCCUUAAAACCUAAAACCUAUAAACUAAAACAUUUUUACCCUUAGUAGAGGCGAUUGAAAAGGAAUCUAGAAACAACAAAAAAAGUACCGCAAGGGAAUGUUGAAAUAGAGGUGAAAAAGACAAUUAAGCAAAACAAAGCAAAGACUAAACCU
rnacentral:rRNA from 1 species